rnacentral:lncRNA from 1 species
UCAAUACAACCACAGUCUCCACAUGCAUAAAUAUCAGAUAAAAAGACUCCAAUACAAUAUCAUUAAUAUUAUCAAUUGAAUAUUAGAUCAAAUUUAAACACGAGUACGAAAACAAAUUAAAAACCACCAACCAAACAUACAGCGACUUGCGGUUGCAUUUUCUGUGGUUUGAGUUGGUUAAAGGUGUCGCUUCCUAAUAUAUAUAUAUGUCCAC